rnacentral:rRNA from 1 species
GACGAACGCUGGCGGCGUGCUUAACACAUGCAAGUCGAACGGAAAGGCCCUGCUUUUGUGGGGUGCUCGAGUGGCGAACGGGUGAGUAACACGUGAGUAACCUGCCCUUGACUUUGGGAUAACUUCAGGAAACUGGGGCUAAUACCGUAUAGGAGCUCCUGCUGCAUGGUGGGGGUUGGAAAUUUUCGGCGGUUGGGGAUGGACUCGCGGCUGAUCAGCUUGUUGGUGGGGUAGUGGCUGACCAAGGCUUUGACGGGUAGCCGGCCUGAGAGGGUGACCGGCCACAUUGGGACUGAGAUACGGCCCAGACUCCUACGGGAGGCAGCAGUGGGGAAUAUUGCACAAUGGGCGGAAGCCUGAUGCAGCAACGCCGCGUGCGGGAUGACGGCCUUCGGGUUGUAAACCGCUUUCGCCUGUGACGAAGCGUGAGUGACGGUAAUGGGUAAAGAAGCACCGGCUAACUACGUG